rnacentral:tRNA from 1 species
GUGGGCGUAGCUCAGUUGGGAGAGUGCAAGAUUGUGAUUCUUGUUGUCGCGGGUUCGAUCCCCGUCGUCCACCCCA